AGUUGUGUAGUUGUGUAUAAGUUGUGUAUGUAUAUUGUUACCGGUAUAAAGAUUUAAAUGUAUAAGUAUUGUGGAGUCUAUAUUUUAUUUUUUAUUACUUUAUUAUUUUUUUAUUUUUUAUUUUUUAUUAUUGAUUGGUAUUCGCGGAAGAUCAGCGUCGUGGCCGUCAAGCGGCUCACGACACAUGCUGAGCGAAGGCCGUUUUGGUUCAUGCCCGGUAAAUUAAACAUGUGUCUGUAAAACUGUUAACCAUGUAACCAAAUAAACGAUUUUUCUUUCUUUCUUUCUUUCUUUCUUUCAUUAUCUGAAGAACUAGACUAGUAGGCUACGGAAGACAUUUUUCAGGUUCUAUAAAUUUGAAAUAAUAUACAUACACGUGGUUAAAACAUUUAUUUAUUUAAUUAAUUAGCAAGAGGUGAUCUAUAAAAACUACUAAAGAUGACUCAGAUUUGUCUACAUGUUCAUGUGGCUCAAGUAGGAUUUGAACCGUUGACCAUGCGAUCAUACACGGGCUUUCAACCACUGCUCUCACUGCUAUAGUUGCCACCGCUUCUCUUUAUAUCCUACAUAAACUAGUGAGAAGACAUUUGUUCGAAGGAAGAGAAAUCUCCUUGGCUUAUUGAAGCCCAUGAAGUAUGCCGACUGUUGCAUCUGCCUGAGGCUUCUCAUGCGGACCUUGGGGUCACGCUCCAGGAGCCUGGUCAGCAGUCCACGGGCAGCCUUCGGGAGGUUCGCCG